CUGAGCAACUGAACAACAGGGCCCACCCCAUACCUCCUGAGCCAGGACUCUUGAGGGUGGGGCCUUGUUUUAACAAGCCCAUCAGGGGAUGCUGACAUUCUUGAAAGUGAGAGCCUGGAGAAAGUCACCCUCCUGGGUACUCAAGAAUUGGGAAAAUAGGACUUGUGGUCAAUUGCUCAAGCUCGUUUUUUUAUGACUUGGAAUCUGUGUUCCAUCAACUUCAGAGGCUACCCGGUAAUAGAAUGAGCUGUGGUCACACACUGUCCACCCCUUCCUCUUGCUAAACGUCACAAGGUCAGAGGGUAAGGCAUGGAUGCCCGUCUUGCCUUGGUUCCAACACAAGGUCGUGACACAACAGGCCCCUCCUGGAAGGAAGGUAGAAUAGUCCAUGAGGAAGGACCUCUUCUUGGGAUGGAAGCGACAUAAAUGUCCAUCGACAGCCUGCAGCCCCGGGCAAGCUCACUCUGAGCCUGACCUGCGUCUUGGCCUUGGUCUUCGAGGCAUCACAUGGGGUACACCUGAGGCCACACACCUACUGGGUCAACUUCAUCCCCCGAG